UCAUUGGAGGUUUUAAUUACAGGUCCCAUUGUCUAUGCUUUGAUUUUUAAUAAUUAAGGUCAGAUUAAUAGUAUAAAUAUCGUUCAAACUUUGUCAUUGGUACUUGCUUACCUUUGUAAAGCAACGUAUUCCUUUCGCAAGAUGAAAGUUAUUAUCGCCCUCUUCUUGUUCGCCAUGGUGGUGUGCGCCAUGAGCCAAGGGCCUGCUUACAGUUAUGGAUACACUAGCUACACUCCAGGAGCCAAAGUGUCUCACUACGCUGCUUCUGGACCAUCUUAUGCAGUUCCAGCUUAUCACCCGGUGUACAACUAUGCUCACCCAGCAGCUUAUCCCUACAGGCUGUAUUAAGCACUUCUACAACGGCCUUGAAUUCCGGAUGAACGCACAUCUUUGAAUUUAUGAAUGUCCAAAGACUGCAUCGUCCGAUGAGUUAUCCAGGAUCAUAUCUGCUGUAUAUGAACGAAUGUUGCUCCUUCGUUCUAUAAAUUUCAUUUCAAAAUUUUUGUACUUCGAACCAUUAAAAUCUUUCUUUAUUA